rnacentral:rRNA from 1 species
AUUGAACGCUGGCGGCAUGCCUAACACAUGCAAGUCGAACGGCAGCAUGACCUAGCUUGCUAGGUUGAUGGCGAGUGGCGCACGGGUGAGUAAUGCGUAGGAAUAUACCUUAAAGUGGGGGAUAACCUGGGGAAACUCAGGCUAAUACCGCAUGAGCUCUGAGGAGGAAAGCUGGGGACCGCAAGGCCUCACGCGAUAGGAGCGGCCGAUAUCUGAUUAGCUAGUUGGUGGGGUAAAGGCCCACCAAGGCGACGAUCAGUAGCUGGUCUGAGAGGAUGAUCAGCCACACUGGGACUGAGACACGGCCCAGACUCCUACGGGAGGCAGCAGUGGGGAAUUUUGGACAAUGGGGGCAACCCUGAUCCAGCCAUUCCGCGUGAGUGAAGAAGGCCUUCGGGUUGUAAAGCUCUUUUGUCCGGGAAGAAACGGUUUCACCUAAUACGUGAGACUACUGACGGUACCGGAAGAAUAAGGACCGGCUAACUACGUGCCAGCCGCCGCCGUAAUAC